AUUCCAGCUCCAAUAGCGUAUAUUAAAGUUGUUGCAGUUAAAAAGCUCGUAGUUGGACUUCUGGGUUGUGAUUGUGGUCCGCCUAACGGCGUGCACUGUGGUUGCGACUCUUCUUCCCGUAGUUUGGGGGUGCACUUAGUUGUGUGCUUUUCGAAUAUGGGACCUUUACUUUGAAAAAAUUUGAGUGUUCUAAGCAGGCCUUCGCUUGAAUACAUUAGCAUGGAAUAAUAGAAUAGGACUUUGGUUCUAUUUUGUUGGUUUCUAGGACCGAAGUAAUGAUUAAUAGGGACAGUUGGGGGCAUUAGUAUUUAAUUGUCAGAGGUGAAAUUCUUGGAUUUAUGAAAGACUAACUACUGCGAAAGCAUUUGCCAAGGAUGUUUUCAUCA
rnacentral:rRNA from 1 species